CGGGGUGUGGCGCAGCUUGGUAGCGCGCUUCGUUCGGGACGAGAGGUCGUGGGUUCAAAUCCCGCCACCCCGACCA
rnacentral:tRNA from 1 species